ACUGGAAGAAUUUUCGGAUGGAUUUCGGUAUAGUUUAGUGGCGGACGGGUGAGUAACACGUGAGCAACCUGCCUUCGAGAGGGGAAUAACGGCUGGAAACGGUCGCUAAUACCGCAUAACAUACCGGGAGGACAUCCUGCUGGUAUCAAAGAUUUUAUCGCUCGAAGAUGGGCUCGCGUCCGAUUAGGUAGUUGAUGAGGUAACGGCUCACCAAGCCGACGAUCGGUAGCCGGACUGAGAGGUUGAACGGCCACAUUGGGACUGAGACACGGCCCAGACUCCUACGGGAGGCAGCAGUGGGGGAUAUUGCACAAUGGGGGAAACCCUGAUGCAGCGACGCCGCGUGUGGGAAGACGGUCCUCUGGAUUGUAAACCACUGUCCCCAGGGACGAAGAUGACGGUACCUGGGGAGGAAGCUCCGGCUAACUACGUGCCAGCAGCCGCGGUAAUACGUAGGGAGCGAGCGUUGUCCGGAAUUACUGGGUGUAAAGGGAGCGUAGGCGGGGAUGCAAGUUGGGUGUCAAAACUACCGGCUCAACUGGUAGUCGCACUCAAAACUGCAACUCUUGAGUGAAGUAGAGGCAGGCGGAAUUCCUAGUGUAGCGGUGAAAUGCGUAGAUAUUAGGAGGAACACCAGUGGCGAAGGCGGCCUGCUGGGCUUUUACUGACGCUGAGGCUCGAAAGUGUGGGGA
rnacentral:rRNA from 1 species